GGAUAGCUCAGCUGGGUAGAGCAUCGGUUCCUUGAUACCGAGAGUCGCGGGUUCGACUCCCGCUCCA
rnacentral:tRNA from 2 species